rnacentral:rRNA from 1 species
AUUGACCUCGGAUCAGGUAGGGAUACCCGCUGAACUUAAGCAUAUCAAUAAGCGGAGGAAAAGAAACCAACAGGGAUUGCCUCAGUAACGGCGAGUGAAGCGGCAACAGCUCAAAUUUGAAAUCUGGCCCCGUCGGGGUCCGAGUUGUAAUUUGUAGAGAGUGUUUCGGGUGAGACCACGGUCUAAGUCUAUUGGAACAUGGCGUCAUAGAGGGUGAGAAUCCCGUAUGUGACCGUGGCUCGAGCCCAUGUGAAGCCUCUUCGACGAGUCGAGUUGUUUGGGAAUGCAGCUCAAAAUGGGUGGUAAAUUUCAUCUAAAGCUAAAUACUGGCUGGAGACCGAUAGCGCACAAGUAGAGUGAUCGAAAGAUGAAAAGCACUUUGGAAAGAGAGUCAAAAAGUACGUGAAAUUGUUGAAAGGGAAGCGCUUGCAACCAGACCUGUCCGUAGGUGAUCAGCCGCUGUUCUCAGCGGUGCACUCGCUCUGCGAUCAGGCCAGCAUCGGUUUCGGCGGUCGGAUAAAGGCCUUGGGAAUGUAGCUUCUUUCGGGGAGUCUUAUAGCCCUCGGUGCAAUGCGGCCAGCCGGGACCGAGGACCGGCUUCGGCUAGGAUGCUGGCGUAAUGGUUGUAAGCGACCCGUCU